GCCAGCGGCGACUGCGGGUAGGGCCAGAGUCCGUCCGAGGGCGCCCGCGCCGGGGGCUGCGGCCCUGGAGAGUUGCUGUGGAAGAGGGAUAAGAGAGGAAGACAACGCAGGAGGAGAUAAGUCACUCUGGACGCAAGGGAAGGUCACACCACUAAAUAGUAAUUAUUAAGCAGAGGGGAAAGGGACAAGGGAAGGAUGCAGACUGCGGCCCUGAUAGUAACCUAGGUUUCCCCAUGUAUCACCACUCUUGGCAUCUCACCUUUGCAGUUUUUGAAGGGAUGAGAUUUCUAUCUCUGACCCCAAAGAAAUAGAUCCAGAAUCCAACUCCAAAUUUGCCUUUUUCAGAGAAGUGUAUGCCAUCAAAACAUGGCAUUGUGAUGAGAGAGACCACUGCCCCCCUGACUUUGAAAAAUACCUUUACUUUCUAGAGCUCUUCUACUUUUCAAAGUACUUUGUCUCUCAUUAGCUCACUUUUUCCUUACAGUCCUGUAAAAUAUCAACAUUAGUAGACAGACAGACCCCUAUGAGGCCUGUCAAAUCUUUCUCUUCUCCCCACCUCCAUUCUCUUGGAAACCUAUUGCAAGACUAAUCUUUGCUAUCUUUACAUCAUUUUUCUUAAAAUCAAAAGCCUUUCAUCACUUUCUGUGUGUCCCCAUGUCAAAGUGAACCUCCUCUGCCUGGUCUAUAUGGUGGCCUUAAAAACAGUGUCCCAUCCUACUGUAAAUAUAUUCUCCCUGUGGUUCCUACAACAUGCCCUAUUCACUCACCACUGGGCCUUAGCCCAUAUUGCUUGCCUCAUUAGUGAUGCCUCCUUUUGAACCACCUAGAUUCUACCCAUUCUUCAAUUUCCAACUCCUUCUUGGAGCCUUCCCAGAUCAUCAAUUCCUUAAAGAUUCCAUCUUGUUCUGAACUCUGGUGGUAGCCACAGCUAUUUGGUCAAUUAUAACCUGGUCUUAAAGUCCUAAAGAAGAAAAAGUAUAGCAUAAUUUGAUAUAGAGAAGAAAGCACCAGACUAAUAAGUUUUAAAGACUUGAUGUCUACUAAAGAGCUGUGGGAGCAAAGCCAAUUUGCUCUACCUUUGUGGUUCUACAUUUUCUGAGCUGUGAUUCUAGAAAGGUUUGGGUCAGAUGACAGUGGUCCCUUCUAAUUCUGAGGCUCUGAGACAACCUGGCCUUCCUUAUGUGGGAUAGAACUCUUACUGAGUUCUUGGAUGAAAAUAUCAGGAAUGGACACUCAGUGCCUUCAGGACUUGUUCUAUCCUACAGAUCUCUAAUGCUAAACUUGGCAAUUUUUGAAUGCCAUGUACCUUUUUUGGUAAGCUUUUUAACCAUAAGCAUCAGAGAAGGUUAGUGGGGGUGAAUUAGGUAGCAGGAUGAUGCAUUAAAAAAAAAAAGUUAUCUUGUGAAUGACUUCCUAUGAUGGAAUAAAUAGGAUCAGUUAUUAGAUAAACCUUAAGUCUUAGCAUGUAAAAUUUUACAUUGCAUCUUCAUUGGAUAGUGCUAUAUGUUAAAUACAGUUAUAUUUUCUUUUUAUUAUUUCAUAAAUUGAAAAACAUUAAAAUAGUCAAACUCUAGGAUAGACACUAGAUGACUUUCCAUAGUAAUCUGGUUGGUGACAUGUAAAUUUGCAUCUGUAUGUAUAUGUAUCAUAUGCACAUUACACUUAAAUUAAGAAGAGUAUCCCUAAAUUAUGAGGUGCUAUUAUACAUUGACCAGAUUUAAUAAGAAUAUCUCUUUAAAAUGUGUUGACAUUUAAUUGACCUUUGAAAGUUCAUUCUGUUAAUCAUACUCAAAGUGCUAAAGCUAUGGUUGACUGCUCUGGUGUUUUUACAUUCAGUCGUGCUUGGCAUAUAAAUUCUUCAGCAUAAUUGCUACUUAUUUAGCAAGAGUUUCCUUUCUUUGAAAAUAUGAGUUGUGUUUUAUUUUUGCAUCUUUUUUUUUAAAACUUUGCUUCAGGCUGGAUAGUGUUAGAGGUUUGAAUUGAAAUGCUUUCCUGUCAUUAGUUGUAUGGGGUGUGGCUUCUUAAUAUAGGAGUAAUGGAAAUUUCUUGCUUAGUGGGGAAGUCUGCUUUUCUUCUGGCAAAAGUUUGAGGUAUGCUGCUAAAAUUUAGAGAAGCUUAACACCUCAACACUACAUACUUUUAACAUAAUAAACUUUUCAAAAUCUUUCAAUUCCAUUUGUGUAGAUUAAAACUAUCAAUACUAAUACUUCUUAUUAAACAAGGAUUCAAAGGAUUUGUUUUCAUAGAAAACUAAUUAUAUUCCUUGAAUUGCUAUGAGUGGAAUUUAAUUUUACUGUAAACGAUGUACAUGUUUUUAAAAAGUCACAUAUGUUUCUUUUUUAAAGCUUAACAUUAUUACUAUCACCUAGAGAACAUCUGCUGAAUUGUUUAAAAAUUUCUGGAUAUUAAAUUUAUGAAAUCAGUCUAUGGAAAUAAUUUUUAAUAUGCUUAGCUGUCAUAUAGGCUUCUAAAUUAAUAUUCCUAGUGAUCAUGGAAAAGUGGCUACACUUUUUGCUAAAUGUUAAUAGAAAAAUAAAAGCAUAUAAUUUACAGUUUUUUGCUAAUUUA